AAGCUUCGACUAAGGUUCGACGCGAGCGCCAGCGAGAGAGCGUUGCCGCAGGCAACGACCCGAAGGGCGAAGCGCGCAGCGCUGAGUAAUCCUUCCCCCACCACCA
rnacentral:sRNA from 1 species